UUAUGACCUGGGCUACAAACGUGAUACAAUGGCUGUUACAAAGGGUAGCUGGAGCGCAAGUUUUUGGCCAAUCCUCAAAAAAACAGUCUCAGUCCGGAUUGAAGUCUGCAACUCGACUUCAUGAAGUUGGAAUCGCUAGUAAUCGCGAAUCAUCAUGUCCCGGUGAAUACGUUCUCGGGGUUUGUACACACCGCCCGUCAAACCACGAAAGUUGGCAAUACCCAAAGCCGGAGGCCAAACUUCGCAAGAAGAGGGAACCGUCUAAAGUAGGGUCGAUGAUUGGGGUUAAGUCGUAACAAGGUAUCCCUACCGGAAGGUGGGGAUGGAUCACCUCCUUUCUAAGGAAACAAUUAUCAUCUUCAGUUUUGAGAGAACUUAAGAAAGUUUUUCAUUGUCACUUGCUUGCAAAUUGUAUUUGCAUACAUUUUAAUCUUUUUAAGAUUAAGGGCCUAUAGUCUCAUGUUGGUUGAGCACACGCCUGAUAA
rnacentral:misc_RNA from 1 species